rnacentral:rRNA from 1 species
GUGGGGAAUAUUGGGCAAUGGGCGGUAGCCUGACCCAGCGACGCCGCGUGGGGGAAGAAGUCUUUCGGGAUGUAAACCCUUGUUGUACGGGACGAAGGAAGUGACGGUACCGUACGAGGAAGCCCCGGCAAACUACGUGCCAGCAGCCGCGGUAAUACGUAGGGGGCGAGCGUUGUCCGGAAUCACUGGGCGUAAAGCGCACGUAGGCGGGCUGUCAAGUCGGCCGUGAAAGGCACGGGCUCAACCUGUGCAUGUCGGUCGAUACUGGCGGUCUGGAGUAUGGGAGAGGGAACUGGAAUUCCCGGUGUAGCGGUGAAAUGCGUAGAGAUCUGGAGGAAUACCGAUGGCGAAGGCAGCCAUCUGGCCUAAUACUGACACUGAGGUGCGAAAGCGUGGGGAGCAAACAGGAUUAGAUACCCCUGUAGUCC